rnacentral:rRNA from 1 species
UAUCUCUGUAGAGUCUGCAUAUCAAUAAGCGGAGGAAAAGAAACUAACUAGGAUUCCCUCAGUAACGGCGAGUGAAGCGGGAAGAGCUCAAAUUUGAAAUCUUCAAGGUUCUACCUUGACGAAUUGUAGUUUAAAGAAGUGUUUUCUGUUGGAGUUUUGGUAAAAGUUCUUUGGAAUAGGACAUCAUAGAGGGUGAGAAUCCCGUAUUUGACCAUUAUUUCCAGCUUUGUGAUACACUUUCAAAGAGUCGGAUUGUUUGGGAAUGCAGUCCAAAAUGGGUGGUAAAUUUCAUCUAAAGCUAAAUACUGGCGAGAGACCGAUAGCGAACAAGUACCGUGAGGGAAAGAUGAAAAGAACUUUGAAAAGAGAGUUAAACAGUACGUGAAAUUGUCAAAAGGGAAGCGUUUGACACCAGUGUUGUUUUCUCGAAAAUCAAUUAAAAAAAGUUGGAUUUUGUAUUGUUAAGACCUUAUCAGCUUACUGUACUCUUUUCUUGCUUUUUUUAAUGCACUUUUCGUUUAACAAGUCAACAUCAAUUUCUUUUGUUGUAAAAGAGUCAUUGGAAGGUGGCUUUCACUUCGGUGAAAGUGUUUAUAGCCUUUGGCUUCUGCAAUCGGAGAGAUUGAGGUCUGCAGCGUAGAUCCUUCGGGGCUAGAUACGUAGAUGCUAAGUUAUAGUUUUUUAUAGACAACUUGUUGACUAUAAUUAAUCAUGUAGCUUACUCGUUUGCGCUAUUUUACCUACGCUUAGGAUGUUGAAGAUGUAGCACAUCAU